AGGGACCGUUCAAGCAGCAAGAAAACAAACUCCUGUUGUCUCCUGAACACAAUCAACUAAGCAGCAUCCCAUGUCCUUGGAGCCUCUGGCAGCUAGGGUGAGGUCAUUCUCCAGACUCAAGCAAGAAUGAGUGAGAUUCUCGUCUGUAGACAUCAGUGAUUGCUCAUCAUGUAAAAGAGUCCAAUAUAAAGAAGACUAUCAUGCAAUUGAAGCCUGGAAGAAACUAAGUGGACAGUCACAACUCAGAACUGAUGAAAAGCUCGAGACCAUGGUAUGAUCAUCUCUAAUUCACC
rnacentral:lncRNA from 1 species